UUGAAUUAAACUCCAUAAAAGGAGAAGAACAAAUAUAAUGGAAUCGGAAUAAAUUCCAUGAAAGACGCUCCAUGAAAGGAGGAAGAUAAACCUCCAUGAAAGGAGGGAUUGGAAUACAAUCCAAUGAUUUCUCAACGCAUACAAUGACUCUAUUUAUAGAGAAAAUGGUAGAGUAAUUAACUAACUUUCUAAUUAAUCAACCAACUAACUUAACUAACAAACUAAUUAACAUAACUACUAACUAACAUUGACAACUGGAGAUAAAAUCUCGGUGGAAUCUGAACUGUUGAGAUGGAAGUCUCUGGAAUCUGCUGUAAACUGGAAGAAGCUGGAAGACUGCUGAUGUUGUAUAUUCU
rnacentral:lncRNA from 1 species